rnacentral:sRNA from 1 species
GCUAGGUGUGGUGGUGCAUGCCUGUAAUCCCAGAGGCUCAGGAGGCUGAGGCAGGAGGAUCGCGAGUUCAAAGCCAGCCUCAGCAAAAAGUGAGGUCCUAAGCAACUCUGUGAGAUCCUGUCUCUA